UCUCGAUAGCGUAAAAGUUAACUCUUAUUUGUAUGGACUGUGAUCGUUUGCGUACGUUUGCCGCUAGGGGCGCUGUUCAAACUGCAUACAAAUUUGGGCUAACUUUUACGCUAUCGA
rnacentral:pre_miRNA from 9 species